rnacentral:rRNA from 1 species
AUUGAACGCUGGCGGCAGGCUUAACACAUGCAAGUCGAGCGGUAACAGAGAGAAGCUUGCUUCUCUGCUGACGAGCGGCGGACGGGUGAGUAAUGCCUAGGAAUCUGCCUAGUAGUGGGGGAUAACUUGCCGAAAGGUAAGCUAAUACCGCAUGCGUCCUACGGGAGAAAGGAGGGGACCUUCGGGCCUUUCGCUAUUAGAUGAGCCUAGGUCGGAUUAGUUAGUUGGUGAGGUAAUGGCUCACCAAGACCGCGAUCCGUAACUGGUCUGAGAGGAUGAUCAGUCACACUGGAACUGAGACACGGUCCAGACUCCUACGGGAGGCAGCGGUGGGGAAUAUUGGACAAUGGGGGGAACCCUGAUCCAGCCAUGCCGCGUGUGUGAAGAAGGUCUUAGGAUUGUAAAGCACUUUAAGUUGGGAGGAAGAGCAGUUAACUAAUAUUUGACUGUUUUGACGUUACCGACAGAAUAAGCACCGGCUAACUUCGUGCCAGCAGCCGCCGUAA